UACUAAGUACUUCUUCAGCGUGACCGUUACAGCAAAAUUAACUUCUGAUGAAAACUCCUUUUAACGACCAGACUAAAAUGCACAGGAGAAAAGUCCCUGCCCUGCGGCUACCCAGGUGCACUUUAAAUUCAGACCAUUUCCGAAAGGGUUAUAAGGAGGGGUCUAUGUUUGUUGAAGGCAUGUUAGCAUCUUCUCAUCCCAAGAAUUGGCUACAAGAAACCCCUCAUCUGAGCUACCAGAAAUGUAUCCUGAUCACAGCACAGACCACUCUUCCUCAAGUGGAGGGGGAAAGGAUUCACAAGCCCUCAAAGCAGCCAAG